rnacentral:rRNA from 1 species
GUCGAGCGAGAAACCCUGCUUCGGCGGGGGAGUACAGCGGCGCACGGGUGAGUAACACGUGAGUAACCUGCCCCCGGAACCGGGACAGCCCCGGGAAACCGGGAUUAAUACCGGAUACGCCGCGCUCCGCGCAUGCGGAGUGCGGGAAAGGAUUUUCCGUCCGGGGAGGGGCUCGCGCCCCAUUAGCUUGUCGGCGGGGUAACGGCCCGCCGAGGCGAAGAUGGGUAGCUGGUCUGAGAGGAUGAUCAGCCACACUGGGACUGAGACACUGCCCAGACUCCUACGGGAGGCUGCAGUCGAGAAUCUUCGGCAAUGGGCGCAAGCCUGACCGAGCGAUGCCGCGUGAGGGAAGAAGGCCUUCGAGUCGUAAACCUCUGUCAGGAGGGACGAAAUCUGACGGUACCUCCUGAGGAAGCCACGGCUAACUACGUGCCAGCAGCCGCGGUAACACGUAGGUGGCGAGCGUUAUUCGGAAUCAUUGGGCGUAAAGGGUCCGCAGGGGGUCUGCCAAGUCCGGUGUGAAAGCCCGCGGCUCAACCGCGGAAGGGCACUGGAAACUGGUGGACUUGAGUACAGGAGAGGAGAGCGGAAUUCCCGGUGUAGCGGUGGAAUUCGUAGAUAUCGGGAGGAACACCGACGGCGAAGGCAGCUCUCUGGCCUGUCACUGACCCUCAGGGACGAAAGCGUGGGCAGCAAACAGGAUUAGAUACCCUGGUAGUCCACGCCGUAAACGUUGUGCACUCGAUGCGGGGCCUCCGGGCUCCGUGUCCAAGCCAACGCGUUAAGUGCA